rnacentral:misc_RNA from 1 species
GAGAGAGAGAGAGAUCUAAGAGAGAAACAUGUUUUUUUGUUGACGUACGUCGUGGCAGUCGCAGUCGCGUGCAUCUGUAAGCGAGAGCAUCGUAUACAAUUGACACACCUACGCAGCAGCGGCAGUAGUAGACGAUCGAUCGGUCAUAACUCGACGAUUAUCGUCGUUAUAAAAGACAUAACAUUAAGUCGUCGUACGGCAGUGAAGCAAUGUUAUUUAUAAUAGAAGAAGACGACUGACGGACGAACGGACGGACGGACGGACAGGGAGAUUGUUGCUACUGUCGUUGAAUUGCCUGCGAGACGGGUAGUAAAUCUCGGACUGCAGAGCGGAUACAUAGUGCGUUACACAUUGUGCGGAUCCGACGAAUCAAAGUUUGGCUUCUUGUUUAUAAAACGUUAUAUUAGUGAUACGAUAACUGUUCCAUGCGCAAAUGCGCUCAAUUAUUCAAGCAACGAGGAAUGGUUCGAGGACGAACUAGCGCUGUCUUCGGCGGCUCACUACUACUGCUGAUCAGCUUCGCCAUCUUCUUGGAUCGCACCGUGAGCGCCAAUCCGGUCGGAAGCCCGACGUCUUCCGCCGCCGUCGACUCUGCGCCGCCGCGCGUCUACGCAGUGGGAAUCGAGCUGCGCGAGCUCGACUACGAGGACGCCUGCAAGCCCCUGGCCGAGGCCGAGUGGCAGUUCGUUCACGACCCGAGCGAUCCCUACGCGGCCAAACAAUGGAAAGAGGCGGCUAACAACUUCGCCCGCUACCGUAGAGAGGAGAGCAAGAUCACGGCCGAGCAAUUGAACGGCACGAUAAGCGCCGAGUCGACCUGGGGCUACAAGCUCGACGUGAUCGAGCAUCCGGGCGACGCGGCUCUCAGCGAUUCCGAUUACAAUAAAUUGGUGACGCUCGUCGCGGCUAAUCGCGCGCUCAAGGCGACGACCAGAUACAACGAUGGGGCGCGAAAUCUCACCCGCCAAGAAGUCGAGGCUCUGCUCGCGCACAAUGGCAAGGAGGGUGAAAAGUUGAAAGCCUGGACCUUUUGGCACCAGCAGUACGCCGCUCAACUCAAGGAUUACUCGAGCGUGCUACAGCUCACUCAAAAAGCCGCCCUAGAAAAUGAAAAAUCCGACGUGCGCAGCUAUUGGGAAAUGCUGGUCGGCGAGGCCGACGCCUACGAGCAUCUCAAGUAUCAAUUGGACGGCCUGAGCGAGCUGCAGCAAAAGCUCGUGAAUUUCGCGCGCAAACGCCUGGCGAAGAAGUACGGCGCCGCGGAAAUGGCCAACGACAGCCUGCCCGCGCACUUGCUCGGUUCUCUGAGCGGCAACGAUUGGACGUAUUUGGCCUUUGACGUGAUGCCCGAGCCCGACGUAGUUUUCAAUCUCAGAAAGAAGUUCUGGGAGAAGAAAAUGAUGGGCAAAAUGCUGUACAAAUCGGCGUCCUCGUUGGGCAAGAAAUUUUUAGGUACGGCCCCGCUGUCGGACUUUUGGACCGAGAGCAUCUUCAAGGACAAGUGUCCGACCAAACUAGUCAAUUUCUGUCUUAAGGAUAAAUUGAGAGUGUCCACUUGCUACGAGCCCUCGCUCUCGAAUUACCUGACCGCGCACAAAAACAUUGCCAAAGUAUUACUGCACCAAAUGUCGUCCAAGAGUCCCAUCAUCGCCGAGUCCAAUCGUUACUCCGUCUUGGAGGAGGCCGUGUCGGAAUUCUUCUCGAUUCUCGCGGCGAGCCCGGCCUGGCUGAAGCAUCUCGGCCUGCUGGACAAGUCGAUGGGCGAGGAGGAGGCCAAGAUCGCGUCCAUGACCAUCACGGCCCUGGACGUGCUGCCGAGACUGGCGUACUACGUCGCCGCCGACAAGUGGAGGCUCGACGCGCUCGAGAAAAACGAGACGCAGGACUUGAAAAAAUUGACCUCCGACUGGUGGAGCAAUAGAUUGCAGUAUGAGUUCGUUACCUCGGCGACCAACGAUUUGCCAACUUUCUUGGACGACGAGCAUAUCGUUGGCAAUAGGCCUUACUUGUCGAAGGCUUUGGGCAUCCUGUUGGCUUUCCAGAUGUACGACUACGUUUUCAAAUCGACCGAAAUCAGACAGGAACCAUUCGACAAAAGCCUCUUCAACAGCCACAUAGUGCACAUGGCGCAGAGGAGCUCGGACAACUGGAAGUUCCUGAUCCGAAAGUACAUGGACAUCGAGACCAUACAGUCGGGCAAGAUCAGCGAAUACUUCGAGGAGCUCGAGUACUUCAUGGAGAGCUACGACGAGUCCGCCGAGAGCUACGACUUCAACGCGCGCGAGCUCGAGCUCGAGAAGAUGGAGAGCGACUAUCGCAAAGUGGCCAACGCGCCGCGCCCAACGACCACCACCACUACCAGCACCACGACAACGACCACGACUACGUCGAGGCCGAGCGGCAACGGCAGCGGCAGCGACAGCGGAAGCGAGUCGACCUCGAGGCCGCCCAUGAAAGCCAAGACGCCGACGAUCAAGUCGAUGGACAGCGCCGACGACGACAAAUCGGCGAUCAAGCCGCUCGACACCAACUACUGGGACGAGAGCGAGCGGAUGCUCGAGGACGAGCAGGCGGCCUCGGACGAGGCCAAUCGCGCCCAGAAGGCCGGCGCGAGCAGGGCCGUGUGGGCGGUGGGCGCGGUGCUCGUCGCCACGGUGGUCAUCUGCAUCAUCGCGAUAGUCGGCCGGCGACGCUGCUCCAAGACGCCGAAGAACCGACGCUACGUCUAGGAUUUGGCCGAGGCGGCGGCGUCCGAUACCCCGCCCCACCAAGGGAGGAUACACGACGACGGCGAUGACGACGACGAUGUUGUUCCCGAUCUCGCAGAUGCCGAUCGACUGUCACAUUCCAUUGUUUUACGAUUAAACAAAGACGACGACGAAGAGGAGGAUGAGGAGGAAGAGGUCGAAAGAAUUUCGUAAAUGCUCGACGCUCUUUUUGUGUGAUAUAACCGUGUGAACUGAUGCAUUUUUUGGUCGAUCAGUCCUCGAUAUCUUUUCGAUCUUCCUCCUGCUGUUCUAACAAAAAGAAGCAUUGUUCAGCUCGUAUAAGCUCGUCGUCCGUAAGAUACGAUAAUGCCAAAUAUAUGUAAUAAAAUUAUUGAAGCUUGCGGGGGUGUCUCUCACGUACGAGCCGUGAAAGACUUGUCAUAGGAAAGAAAAGUAUAAGAGUAUCAUCGCUUAUCGAUGAUUUUACAAUAAUCAAUCGCGAAUGACCAGUAUUUGUGCUUCGCUGAAAAUAUAUUGAAAUCCGCAUUGACUUCCAAUGGUGAAAAUUGAGUAGCUAGAGGUAUAAUGUGAAAGUUUUUUGUCGUAAAAGUACUGCCAUUUUAUGAACGUCUGUUUUUUGUAAAAAUGUUAUAUUCUAAGCCGGAUUUUUUUUUUUAAUAACCAAAAUUUCGUACUUUUUCAUUUUUGCAACGUGUGUAUACCAGAAGUAGACUUUUUUUAGUAGAAGAUGACGUCUUUUUGCUUUGUGUCAAAAUGUCGAUAUUCUCGCGCGUUUUUAUAUCGUGUAAAUAUAUGUAGCAGAGAAUUUUUAUAAAACGCGAAAAGAAUGACAUUUACUCCAAUCAAUAGUUGCGUAAACUCGCGCAGAGAGUCGCACGUUGAUCGCGAGUGAUCUUUUGUAAGCGAUGCAAGAAAUCUAUGGAGUGAUGAGAAUUGUCGCAAUCAACAGUAUUUUCUAUGUACUGUAUAAUUGAAUAAGUUUAUGUAGUAUGACAAUGUUAUUUGGUAGGCUCAUCGAUGUAUUUUUACGUGAUUUUCAUAGUGUCGAAGAAGUAUGUUUUCCAACGAGAAUCAUGAAAUCCAAGUUAGUUCCUCGCAUAAUAAGUUUUGUUUUGUGGUUGUUAUAUGAAUGAGUGCUCACAUUAGAAUAAAAAAAGUAAAGCACAAAAACUCUGAAUUAUCGCCUAUGUACAUAGAAUGAAAAAUAAGAGCAUCAAGUAGAUUUAAGGUAAACUAUUACGAGAUUUAUGAUAAAAAAAAUUAUUAUUACUGUAGAUAAAUCGUAAACCGGUCGCGUUUCUUUGUUUUUUUUUUGUUUUUUUUUAAGGUGCGUUUUUAGCGUAAUGAACUCGUGUAUAGUGGUCAAUUUUUUAUGCCUGUAAUUUAUACACAUAUAUAAAUCUUGUUGUAUUGUAAAUUGGUCGCAGAGAGGCGAGCACGCGCGCCACGACUGGCUAAACAGUCAUUGUAUUUGUAAUGAAUGAAUCUAUUUGGACGUUGCUGCGUCAAUGUCGCGACCGUCGCGCAUUAUUUAUGCACUCGUUAUGAGAAAAGUGCCCGUGUCGUGUGCGUUUGCGAUUAACGAGUGCGUUAGUUUGCAAUGACUCGUAAGGAUUUAUAUUUUUUAUAAAAAUGAUUUAUCUGUACCGAUAUGCAGCCGCGUACGAAUUUAUAGAAACGAAUUGAAAUAAAAGAUUACAACGUAAGCGAUAGAGACAACAAAAAAAUCAUCGAACUCGCGAACGACUCUUUGCGAAUCGAUCCGAGCGAUUUGAGAACGUAC